ACGAACGCUGGCGGCGUGCUUAACACAUGCAAGUCGAACGGUGAACCUCGCUUGCGGGGGGAUCAGUGGCGAACGGGUGAGUAACACGUGGGCAACCUGCCCCUGGCUCUGGGAUAACUCCAAGAAAUUGGGGCUAAUGCCGGAUAUGACCGCUGACCGCAUGGUCUGGUGGUGGAAAGAUUCAUCGGCUGGGGAUGGGCCCGCGGCCUAUCAGCUUGUUGGUGGGGUAGUGGCCUACCAAGGCGACGACGGGUAGCCGGCCUGAGAGGGUGACCGGCCACACUGGGACUGAGACACGGCCCAGACUCCUACGGGAGGCAGCAGUGGGGAAUAUUGCGCAAUGGGCGAAAGCCUGACGCAGCGACGCCGCGUGGGGGAUGACGGCCUUCGGGUUGUAAACCUCUUUCACCCACGACGAAGCGCAAGUGACGGUAGUGGGAGAAGAAGCACCGGCCAACUACGU
rnacentral:rRNA from 1 species